AAGAAUUGAUAUAUUCAAGUUACUAUUUACUUGAAUCUAGUCGUGGAUUCUACCUGAUAUCACCACUCUUUCAAUUUUUUUUCUUCUAUCCCAAUACUCUUGUGGUUAACAACCUGCAGAUUUCAGCAUCACAGACGUAUGUCUUAAAAGAUUGUGGAUAUUUGACCACAGUUUUUUAUUUUGGCGUGUAAGAUUGGUUCCUAUCGAUGCUUUCUAGCUUAUUCAUUUGGAUCUUUCAUAUGGGCUUUGUGGAAUACUUGUUCAUUGUUCAUGGGAUGCCAUUUCUUUUGUAGAUAAUAAUGUCAAUUUGUUCAUCAUAUAGUAGGGAGA
rnacentral:lncRNA from 1 species